UUAUUUUAAAGAGGGUCAACAGAGUGGAAAGCUAUGUAGGUGGUCAAAUGUGGGAUAAAUUAUAAUAGAAAAGAUCUCAGUGGGACUAAAAUAAUUGGAUGCCCAAAUAAUGUAGAGUAGUAGUAAGGUAGAGAGCAAGGAAGCGAGAGUUGUAGGAAGGAGGUGGAUCGUGGGUAUGAGUGAGGAAUUGGGUUUGAUAUUAAGAGAAAGUGGAUAUGUUAGAGAGCGAGAGUGUUAAGGAUUGUGAGGAAGUGAAGAGUGGUAGAGAAUGAAGAAGUGAGAGCAGGAGAGAGUUAGGAAGUGAAUGCGGCAGAAAUAGAGGGGAAGUGAUUGCGGUAAUGAGUGAGAAAAUGAUUGCGGUAAAGAGUGAGGAAGUGAGAGCUGUAGGGAAGGAUGUGGAUCAUAGGUGUGAGUGAGGAAGUGGAUGGAAUAGAGUCAGGAAGUAGAUGUGGUAGAGAGCAAGAGCAAUAAGGAGUGUCAGGAAGUGAGCAGGGUAAAGAACAAGGAAGUGAGAGCAGUAGAGUGAGGUAGUGAUUGUGUGGUAGUGAGUGAGAAAAUGAUUGCGGUAGUGAGCGAGAAAAUGAUUGUGCUAAAGAGCGGGAAAAUGAUUUCUAUUGAGUGAGAAAAUGAUUGUGCUAUUAAGUGAGAAAAUGAUUGCGGUAGUGUGCGAGAAAAUGAUUGCGCUAUUGAGCGAGAAAAUUAUUGGGGUAGAGAGCAAAAGAAUGAUUGCGGUAGUGAGUGGGAAAAUAAUUGCGGAAGAGAACGAGAAAAUGAUUGCACUAUUGAGCGAGAAAAUUAUUGUGGUAGAGAGCGAAAGAAUGAUUGCGGUAGUGAGUGAGAAAAUAGUUGCGGAAGAGAACGAGAAAAUGAUUGCACUAUUGAGCGAGAAAAUGAUUGUGGUAGAGAGUGAAAAAAUGUUUGCGGUAGUGAGUGAGAAAAUAAUUGCGCAAGAGAACGAGAAAAGUAUUGCACUAUUGAGCGAGAAAAUUAUUGUGGUAGAGAGCGAAAGAAUGAUUGCGGCAGUGAGUGAGAAAAUUGCGGAAGAGAACGAGAAAAUUAUUGCACUAUUGAGCGAGAAAAUUAUUUUGGUAGAGAGCGAAAGAAUGAUUGCGGUAGUGACGAAAAAAAGAUUGCGGUAGAGAGCGAGAAAAUGAUUCCUGUAGAGAGUGAGGAAGUGAGUGUAAUAAAGAGUCAGGAAGUGGAUACGGUAGAGAACGAAAGCGGUAAAGAGUGUGAGGAAGUGAAGAGCGGUAGUGAUCGUGGAAAUGGUCAUGGUAAUGAGUGAGGAAGUGAGACCGGCAGAAAGUGAAAAAUGAGUGACAAGAGUGAGGAAAGGGAAUGCAGAAGGCUUUUAUGAGGAGUAUUGUUAAUGCCAAAAAUAUCUUGUGUGGAAUUGGAUGCAAGUUUUGCCUGUGUGUGUUUUCAACCUUUUAGAAAUACAGAACUACUUGUGCUUCAGGUAGACGAGGUGGAUGCCUUAUUUUGUUUUUUGCACAUUCACAAAGCAAAAAAAUAAAUAAAAUAGAUAAACAAAAACACCUGUAAUAUAAUCCUAUGAAGAUGUGGGGAGUUUAAAUUGUUAUAUUUCUGAACGAGUGCCAGGUAUGCAGUGUCCAGUACUGGAGGAGAUCAUUGCACUCCAAAGCAAAUGUCAUCCUUCCCAUAUUCACCAACCUAAAAACUGUCCGUAAUAAAUGUAUAUUAUCUCUGAAACCUCACUGAGAUGUACAAAAUUCCUCAACCCUUGAUGAUUUUGCUUUGUUUCAGUCUUUUAUGCUGAGACGGUUUGUUUUAUAUGUUGAUGAGAACUAAAAGGAUUGCCAACUACUAUUUAAUUUAUUUGUUUUACCACUGGCUUUUUAAAUAGCUUUUAAAAACACUUUAGAGAUUGUGUAGAAUAACAGUAAGCGGUUUCUUAUUUUGCUUGAUUAGCAUUUUUGCACUGAUGAUAAUGAAGAAAAAAUUAUGUUGAAUGUCUAAAGUAAUGUUGAACUGUCUAAUAUAAAAAGUGGCUGAGGUACAGACGGGUCAUGUGUGUAUGACCAUUUGAAGCCUCAGAAAUAAAUGUUGGAUAAUGAAUAAUAAAAUCCUAUUUAAUGCCA